rnacentral:rRNA from 1 species
UACGAAGGGGGCUAGCGUUACUCGGAAUUACUGGGCGUAAAGCGUGCGCAGGCGGUUUUGUAAGUCAGAUGUGAAAUCCCCGGGCUUAACCUGGGAACUGCGUUUGAAACUACAAGGCUAGAGUGUGGCAGAGGGGGGUGGAAUUCCACGUGUAGCAGUGGAAAUGGCGUAGAGAUGUGGAGGAACACCGAUGGCGAAGGCAGCCCCCUGGGUUAACACUGACGCUCAGGCACGAAAGCGUGGGGAGCAAACAGG